rnacentral:rRNA from 1 species
GAUGAACGCUGACAGAAUGCUUAACACAUGCAAGUCGAUUCAAGUUACCUUCGGGUAAUGAGGAUGGCGGACGGGUGAGUAACGCGUAAGGAACUUGCCUCUUGGUCUGGGACAACUGUUGGAAACGACAGCUAAUACCGGAUAUUAUGAGAUUCUCGCAUGGGAAACUUAUGAAAGCUAUAUGCGCCAAGAGAGAGCCUUGCGUUCCAUUAGCUAGUUGGUGGGGUAACGGCCCACCAAGGCGACGAUGGAUAGCCGGCCUGAGAGGGUGAACGGCCACAAGGGGACUGAGACACGGCCCUUACUCCUACGGGAGGCAGCAGUGGGGAAUAUUGGACAAUGGGCCACAAGCCUGAUCCAGCAAUUCUGUGUGCACGAUGAAGGUCUUCGGAUUGUAAAGUGCUUUCAGUUGGGAAGAAGAAAGUGACGGUACCAACAGAAGAAGCGACGGCUAAAUACGUGCCAGCAGCCGCGGUAAUACGUAUGUCGCAAGCGUUAUCCGGAUUUAUUGGGCGUAAAGCGCGUCUAGGCGGAAAAAUAAGUCUGAUGUUAAAAUGCGGGGCUCAACUCCGUAUUGCGUUGGAAACUGUUUUUCUAGAGUACUGGAGAGGUGGGCGGAACUACAAGUGUAGAGNUGAAAU